rnacentral:misc_RNA from 1 species
UUUCCGUAGGUGAACCUGCGGAAGGAUCAUUAACGAGUAAAGUCCUUCGGGACUUUCUUAUCCAAACACCUGUGAAAAUUAAUUUUUGCUUUGAGAAUUUAAUUAUCCCCAACAAUCAAAACCACUAGUUGUCUUUUGUCUGGAUGAUUAUUUAAAAUCAAAACUUUUAACAACGGAUCUCUUGGUUCUC